rnacentral:rRNA from 1 species
UACGAAGGGGGCUAGCGUUGCUCGGAAUCACUGGGCGUAAAGGGUGCGUAGGCGGGUCUUUAAGUCAGAGGUGAAAUCCUGGAGCUCAACUCCAGAACUGCCUUUGAUACUGAAGAUCUUGAGUUCGGGAGAGGUGAGUGGAACUGCGAGUGUAGAGGUGAAAUUCGUAGAUAUUCGCAAGAACACCAGUGGCGAAGGCGGCUCACUGGCCCGAUACUGACGCUGAGGUGCGAAAGCGUGGGGAGCAAACAGG